CGCCAGACUCCUACGGGAGGCAGCAGUGGGGAAUAUUGCACAAUGGGGGGAACCCUGAUGCAGCGAUGCCGCGUGGAGGAAGAAGGUUUUCGGAUUGUAAACUCCUUUUAUCAGGGACGAUAAUGACGGUACCUGAAGAAAAAGCUCCGGCUAACUACGUGCCAGCAGCCGCGGUAAUACGUAGGGGGCAAGCGUUAUCCGGAUUUACUGGGUGUAAAGGGAGCGUAGACGGUGCAGCAAGUCUGGAGUGAAAGGCAGGGGCCCAACCCCUGGACUGCUCUGGAAACUGUUGUACUUGAGUGCAGGAGAGGUAAGUGGAAUUCCUAGUGUAGCGGUGAAAUGCGUAGAUAUUAGGAGGAACACCAGUGGCGAAGGCGGCUUACUGGACUGUAACUGACGUUGAGGCUCGAAAGCGUGGGGAGCAAACAGGAUUAGAUACCCGGGUA
rnacentral:rRNA from 1 species